rnacentral:rRNA from 1 species
AGUGAACGCUGGCGGUAGGCCUAACACAUGCAAGUCGAACGGCAGCACAGUAAGAGCUUGCUCUUACGGGUGGCGAGUGGCGGACGGGUGAGGAAUACAUCGGAAUCUACUUUUUCGUGGGGGAUAACGUAGGGAAACUUACGCUAAUACCGCAUACGACCUACGGGUGAAAGCAGGGGAUCUUCGGACCUUGCGCGAUUGAAUGAGCCGAUGUCGGAUUAGCUAGUUGGCGGGGUAAAGGCCCACCAAGGCGACGAUCCGUAGCUGGACUGAGAGGAUGAUCAGCCACACUGGAACUGAGACACGGUCCAGACUCCUACGGGAGGCAGCAGUGGGGAAUAUUGGACAAUGGGCGCAAGCCUGAUCCAGCCAUACCGCGUGGGUGAAGAAGGCCUUCGGGCUGUAAAGCCCUUUUGUUGGGAAAGAAAAGCAGCAGGUUAAUACCCCGCUGUUCUGACGGUACCCAAAGAAUAAGCACCGGCUAACUUCGUG